UGGGGAAUAUUGGACAAUGGGCGAAAGCCUGAUCCAGCCAUGCCGCGUGUGUGAAGAAGGUCUUCGGAUUGUAAAGCACUUUAAGUUGGGAGGAAGGGCAGUAAGCGAAUACCUUGCUGUUUUGACGUUACCGACAGAAUAAGCACCGGCUAACUCUGUGCCAGCAGCCGCGGUAAUACAGAGGGUGCAAGCGUUAAUCGGAAUUACUGGGCGUAAAGCGCGCGUAGGUGGUUCGUUAAGUUGAAUGUGAAAGCCCCGGGCUCAACCUGGGAACUGCAUCCAAAACUGGCGAGCUAGAGUAGGGCAGAGGGUGGUGGAAUUUCCUGUGUAGCGGUGAAAUGCGUAGGUAUAGGAAGGAACACCAGUGGCGAAAGCGACCACCUGGGCUCAUACUGACACUGAGGUGCGAAAGCGUGGGGAGCAAACAGG
rnacentral:rRNA from 1 species